rnacentral:rRNA from 1 species
GACGAACGCUGGCGGCGUGCUUAACACGUGCAAGUCGAACGGAAAGGCCCUGCUUUUGUGGGGUGCUCGAGUGGCGAACGGGUGAGUAACACGUGAGUAACCUGCCCUUGACUUUGGGAUAACUUCAGGAAACUGGGGCUAAUACCGGAUAGGAGCUCCUGCUGCAUGGUGGGGGUUGGAAAGUUUCGGCGGUUGGGGAUGGACUCGCGGCUUAUCAGCUUGUUGGUGGGGUAGUGGCUUACCAAGGCUUUGACGGGUAGCCGGCCUGAGAGGGUGACCGGCCACAUUGGGACUGGGAUACGGCCCAGACUCCUACGGGAGGCAGCAGUGGGGAAUAUUGCACAAUGGGCGGAAGCCUGAUGCAGCAACGCCGCGUGCGGGAUGACGGCCUUCGGGUUGUAAACCGCUUUCGCCUGUGACGAAGCGUGAGUGACGGUAAUGGGUAAAGAAGCACCGGCUAACUACGUG